rnacentral:rRNA from 1 species
UGGGGAAUCUUGGACAAUGGGCGCAAGCCUGAUCCAGCCAUGCCGCGUGGAUGAUGAAGGCCUUAGGGUUGUAAAAUCCUUUCGCCGAGGACGAUAAUGACGGUACCCGGAGAAGAAGCUCCGGCUAACUUCGUGCCAGCAGCCGCGGUAAUACGAAGGGGGCUAGCGUUGUUCGGAUUUACUGGGCGUAAAGCGCGUGUAGGCGGGUCGUUAAGUUGGGGGUGAAAUCCCGAGGCUCAACCUCGGAACUGCCUUCAAAACUGGCGACCUGGACCUAAGUAGAGGCAAGUGGAAUUGCGAGUGUAGAGGUGAAAUUCGUAGAUAUUCGCAGGAACACCAGUGGCGAAGGCGACUUGCUGGACUUAUGGUGACGCUGAGACGCGAAAGCGUGGGGAGCAAACAGGAUUAGAUACCCCCGUAGUCCCUGAGCGGGCUGGCAAGGCGCAU